AAAAAGAAAUUGAUUGAGGCUGCUAACUUUGAUCAGGGGAAUAUUUCUCCUCUUUUUU
rnacentral:tRNA from 1 species